rnacentral:snRNA from 1 species
AUACUUACCUGGCAGGGGAGAUACCAUGAUCACAAAGGUGGUUUUCCCAGGGCGAGGCUUAUCCAUUGCACUCCAGAUGUGCUGACCCCUGCGAUUUCCCCAAAUGAGAACAUUACAGCAUACUAAC